UACACUCCUACGGGAGGCAGCAGUGGGGAAUCUUGCGCAAUGGGCGAAAGCCUGACGCAGCCAUGCCGCGUGAAUGAUGAAGGUCUUAGGAUUGUAAAAUUCUUUCACCGGGGACGAUAAUGACGGUACCCGGAGAAGAAGCCCCGGCUAACUUCGUGCCAGCAGCCGCGGUAAUACGAAGGGGGCUAGCGUUGCUCGGAAUUACUGGGCGUAAAGGGAGCGUAGGCGGACAUUUAAGUCAGGGGUGAAAUCCCGGGGCUCAACCUCGGAAUUGCCUUUGAUACUGGGUGUCUUGAGUAUGAGAGAGGUGUGUGGAACUCCGAGUGUAGAGGUGAAAUUCGUAGAUAUUCGGAAGAACACCAGUGGCGAAGGCGACACACUGGCUCAUUACUGACGCUGAGGCUCGAAAGCGUGGGGAGCAAACAGGAUUAGAAACCCGAGUAGUCC
rnacentral:rRNA from 1 species